GGAGAAACCAUGUAAUUAACAGACGGCGAUAAAAACCGGGCCCGUGGGUUCGAAUCCCACCUUCUCCGCCA
rnacentral:tRNA from 1 species